UGAACCUUUGUUUAAAAAAAACUGGUAUCUACUAAACUAUAUAGGACAAUCAAUGUCCAUUUUUUUUACUUUUUUGCCCUUAUAAGGGUAUUUUCGUCAAUUGGUAAUUGGAAGUCUUUCCCAUAUAUAUGGAGAAGAUAGAAGAGAGAAGAGGGAAUGGGAGAAAGAAGAGGGAACGAGAGAAGAGGGAACACAGAGCAUGUGGGUUGUUUGUUUCUGUUCUUCUUCUUCUCCGAUUGCUAUCAAUUACCCCAACUGAUCAAUUGCUAUCAAUUAUUAUCCUCAGGCUAGAGAAGUUCUAACAGAGGUGCAUUUCCUUCCCUUUAAUCCAGUGGACAAGUGUAGCUCCUUAACAUACAUAGACACUGACGGUAAUUGGCACCGAGUAAGCAAGGGAGCACCGGAGGAGAUUAUUGAUUUGUGCAACGUUAGAGAAGAUGUGAGAAGGAGAGCUAUUUCCAUUAUUGAUAAAUUUGCUGAACGCAGUCUCUCUUCCCUUGCUGUUGGACCAUCUCAUGGCUCAGGAUUGACUUGGCAUAUGAGAAUUAAGAUUUCUCUUGACACAACAAGAUUUGUAACUUUUGCUUGCUCUCUUUGCAACUUGUUUUACAAUAUAGUGUGGAUAGAACUUAUAGUCUUCAUCUGAGUUACCAAUAUCCAAAGAUAUUUUCACUUGCUAUGUGUAUUGCAAGUUUUGAUAUGAGGCUAUUGAAUUAAUGUCUCGGACUGUUGUGGCAGAGAAUUUACCUGACGAUCAUUCCCAUCAAAAUCUUCAGAAAAUAUUUGCCAUAGUCGAGAGCGUCAAAACAAUCAGAAUAUGCCAUCCCCAAGAACCAAAUUCUUCUCGGCCGAAAGGUGAUUUUCUCAUCAGUAACAAGGUACAAAAAAUAUGUCAUAUACCAUAUUACUAUGUUGUCUUGGCAGUCAAGGGUGAUGCAUCUCUUGAGUGAUAAAUGAAAGCACCCGUAGCACCUAGAGAAUGUGUCCUGGAAUGUGUGGAUGCAGCAGAUGGAAAACCAACAGAUGAAAAUGUGGACUUUACCUGUCUAUUGAAAAUGCUGAUGCUGAUCUUAGAACUUUGCCUUUCAGCAAUCUGAAACGAAUUUCAGGAACAAAGAGUAGAAAUCAGAAUAAAGAGAUACUGUGCAUAAAAUGCGUAAGGUCCGUGGUUCAAACCCCGGCCACCGCCAAAAUCAAGAUCUUGAAUUCAUGCAUCAUGAAAGAAAACUAAAUAAUAUGGGUUCAGAUCUGGUCCAAGGACACUGGCACUAGAGCAAGGGCUUUAGGCACCCCAAAAUUUGUAGGCCUCUGAAUCUUUUUUCGUUUUAAAUAUAUUUUCAUAAGUCGAAUUUUUUAAACAUUUUUGCGUCAGAGAUAGACUCUCACAAACUGAUGAAUCAAUAUUUUUUUUAAUGAUGAUGAAUCAAUAUUUGAUUACUAAAUAUGGGCAAUGAAUAUUUCCUUAAAUAAAGUUACACAUUUACGGUUCUUAAUUUUUAUAUUUCUUUGUCAACAAACUUAAAAGGCUCGAAUUUCAAAUUCGCUUUAAGCCAUCAAAUUUCCCUUCAUUUACACAAGAUUCAUAGAGAGUUAGACGAUGAGAUUUCGCAAUUUUUUACUUGCAAAAUUGCACUGAGUUGGGGAAAAGUGCAUUUUUCAGGUUAUUGAUCACUUGGCUGCUCAAUCCUAUAUAUUAUCAGGCAAAUCCCCCAAGAAGACAUCAUUUGCUUAUCAAUCAAAUUGGCCACAAUUUCUGCAUCAAAUUCUGAAAAUGCAGCUCUGCACAUAAAUUUAAAGUUAGUUACUUACCUAGAGCAACAAAAAUAAUUUAUGUGCAUAUGCAAUUAGGUAUAUGAAUGAAUUUUCUCAUAAUCAAACCUGAAAUCUAGGUGUUGCUUUCUUAGUAGUGUUAUCAAAUAUCAGCCACAACGACACUAUGGCGGGUUGUGGUGGCAGAUUUUAAAUUUUCUGUUAUGGUAAAUGGCGGCCGAUAUCCUGCCAUUUCCGCUAUAAUUACGUCAUACAGAACUGUAAUUGCGCCAUAUAAUGAGCACUAAAGACCCUUUCUCAUUAGUAGCAAUGUUGGGCAUAUUGAGUUCUUGAUCUUGGAUAAAUAGGGAGAUGAGAUACAAGUGUCCAUGAACUGGCAUUUGCAAGACCGGCUGGUUGGUUCCAAUUUGUUAGGGACAAUCACCUACAAGAGGACGACAAGCUGCUAUUCGAUUUAGGUGUUCCUCCUACAGUGUUGUUUGUGGAGUUGGUCCGUAAAAAUGAUCUUGCUUGAAGAAAAGUUCUAAACUUUUGGAAAUUGUACGCUGGCAUGUAUAUUUUGUAUAAUAUUUCGAUGACAAUGUUUUGAAUGUGGUUUGGAUUUAGUAAUCCAACCCUUUUUUGGUAACCAACCUUAAAUUGGUUAUACACUACAUGACAACAUCUAUAUUUCUGCUGGAGUACAUUAUGUACGCAAUGACAAUAAUUGUUAUGCUAUCUUUAAUGCCAUGUCUUAGACCAUGCAUCACAAAUAUUCGGAUUAUGUGACCUUCGUUCACAAA